rnacentral:rRNA from 1 species
AGUGAACGCUGGCGGUAGGCCUAACACAUGCAAGUCGAACGGCAGCACAGUAAGAGCUUGCUCUUACGGGUGGCGAGUGGCGGACGGGUGAGGAAUACAUCGGAAUCUACUUUUUCGUGGGGGAUAACGUAGGGAAACUUACGCUAAUACCGCAUACGACCUACGGGUGAAAGCAGGGGAUCUUCGGACCUUGCGCGAUUGAAUGAGCCGAUGUCGGAUUAGCUAGUUGGCGGGGUAAAGGCCCACCAAGGCGACGAUCCGUAGCUGGUCUGAGAGGAUGAUCAGCGGCACUGGAACUGAGACACGGUCCAGACUCCUACGGGAGGCAGCAGUGGGGAAGAGUGGACAAUGGGCGCAAGCCUGAUCCAGCCAUACCGCGUGGGUGAAGAAGGCCUUCGGGUUGUAAAGCCCUUUUGUUGGGAAAGAAAAGCAGCAGGUUAAUACCCCGCUGUUCUGACGGUACCCAAAGAAUAAGCACCGGCUAACUUCGUG